GCUGGGCAUGGUGGCGCGUGCCUGUAGUCCCAGCUACUUGGGAGGCUGAGGCAGGAGAAUCACUUGAACCCAGGAGGUGGAGGUUGCAGUGAGCCAAGAUCGAGCCACUGCACUCCAGCCUGGGCGACAGAGUGAGACUCUGUCUCAA
rnacentral:SRP_RNA from 1 species